rnacentral:snoRNA from 1 species
CUGCAGCUAAUUAAGUGAACUGGGUUCCUUUACUUGUGGUGGCCCAGUGUGCAAUGACUGCAGAUAGCAAACUCCUCAGUAGUAUAUGCAUGCAGCAUGUCACUUGUAUGGGUUGCCCUUGAGGGACCUUGGAGACAGCA